AACGAACGCUGGCGGCAUGCCUAACACAUGCAAGUCGAACGAGACCUUCGGGUCUAGUGGCGCACGGGUGCGUAACGCGUGGGAACCUGCCCUUAGGUUCGGAAUAACUCCCCGAAAGGGGUGCUAAUACCGGAUAAUGUCUUCGGACCAAAGAUUUAUCGCCUUUGGAUGGGCCCGCGUUGGAUUAGCUAGUUGGUAGGUAAAAGCCUACCAAGGCGACGAUCCAUAGCUGGUCUGAGAGGAUGAUCAGCCACACUGGGACUGAGACACGGCCCAGACUCCUACGGGAGGCAGCAGUGGGGAAUAUUGGACAAUGGGCGAAAGCCUGAUCCAGCAAUGCCGCGUGAGUGAUGUAGGCCUUAGGGUUGUAAAGCUCUUUUACCCGGGAUGAUAAUGACAGUACCGGGAGAAUAAGCUCCGGCUAACUCCGUG
rnacentral:rRNA from 1 species